rnacentral:rRNA from 1 species
AAUCAACGCUGGCGGCAGGCCUAACACAUGCAAGUCGAACGCUCCAGCAAUGGAGAGUGGCAGACGGGUGAGUAACGCGUGGGAACCUUCCCUAUGGUUCGGAAUAGCUCAGGGAAACUUGAGGUAAUACCGGAUAAGCCCUUCGGGGAAAGGAUUUAUCGCCAUUGGAUGGGCCCGCGUAGGAUUAGCUAGUUGGUGAGGUAACGGCUCACCAAGGCGACGAUCCUUAGCUGGUCUGAGAGGAUGAUCAGCCACACUGGGACUGAGACACGGCCCAGACUCCUACGGGAGGCAGCAGUGGGGAAUAUUGGACAAUGGGCGCAAGCCUGAUCCAGCCAUGCCGCGUGAGUGACGAAGGCCUUAGGGUUGUAAAGCUCUUUUGCCAGGGACGAUAAUGACGGUACCUGGAGAAUAAGCCCCGGCAAACUUCGUGCCAGCAGCCGCCGUAAC